rnacentral:rRNA from 1 species
UACGUAGGUGACAAGCGUUGUCCGGAUUUACUGGGCGUAAAGAGCGCGCAGGCGGUCGAUCAAGUCGAGUGUGAAAGCCCCCGGCUCAACUGGGGAGGGUCAUUCGAUACUGAUCGACUUGAAGGCAGGAGAGGGUAGUGGAAUUCCCGGUGUAGUGGUGAAAUGCGUAGAUAUCGGGAGGACACCAGUGGCGAAGGCGACUACCUGGCCUGUUCUUGACGCUGAGGCGCGAAAGCUAGGGGAGCAAACGGGG